rnacentral:rRNA from 1 species
GACGUAGGGCGCAAGCGUUUGUCCGGAAUUAUUGGGCGUAAAGGGCUCGUAGGCGGUUUGUCGCGUCGGGAGUGAAAUCCACUGGCUUAACUGGUGGCUUGCUUUCGAUACGGGCAGACUGGAGGUAUGCAGGGGAGAACGGAAUUCCUGGUGUAGCGGUGAAAUGCGCAGAUAUCAGGAGGAACACCGGUGGCGAAGGCGGCGACCUGGGCCAAUAUUGACGCUGAGGUGCGAAAGCGUGGGGAGCAAACAGG